rnacentral:tRNA from 1 species
UAUGUUAAGGUGUAAGAGAGAUCGCACAGUAAGAUUUGAACUUACGGGGGGCAGUUUAAUUCUGUUUAAUAUAA